rnacentral:rRNA from 1 species
AGGUUGAAGGUUGGGUAACACUAACUGGAGGACCGAACCGACUAAUGUUGAAAAAUUAGCGGAUGACUUGUGGCUGGGGGUGAAAGGCCAAUCAAACCGGGAGAUAGCUGGUUCUCCCCGAAAGCUAUUUAGGUAGCGCCUCGUGAAUUCAUCUCCGGGGGUAGAGCACUGUUUCGGCAAGGGGGUCAUCCCGACUUACCAACCCGAUGCAAACUGCGAAUACCGGAGAAUGUUAUCACGGGAGACACACGGCGGGUGCUAACGUCCGUCGUGAAGAGGGAAACAACCCAGACCGCCAGCUAAGGUCCCAAAGUCAUGGUUAAGUGGGAAACGAUGUGGGAAGGCCCAGACAGCCAGGAUGUUGGCUUAGAAGCAGCCAUCAUUUAAAGAAAGCGUAAUAGCUCACUGGUCGAGUCGGCCUGCGCGGAAGAUGUAACGGGGCUAAACCAUGCACCGAAGCUGCGGCAGCGACACUGUGUGUUGUUGGGUAGGGGAGCGU